CAGCAGCCGCGGUAAUACGGAGGGAGCUAGCGUUGUUCGGAAUUACUGGGCGUAAAGCGCACGUAGGCGGCUUUGUAAGUUAGAGGUGAAAGCCUGGAGCUCAACUCCAGAAUUGCCUUUAAGACUGCAUCGCUUGAAUCCAGGAGAGGUGAGUGGAAUUCCGAGUGUAGAGGUGAAAUGCGUAGAUAUUCGGAGGAACACCAGUGGCGAAGGCGGCUCACUGGCUCGGUACUGACGCUGAGGUGCGAAAGCGUGGGGAGCAAACAGGAUUAGAUACCCCUGUAGUCCCUGUCUCUUAUAC
rnacentral:rRNA from 1 species